CGCUGUCAAUAGAUCCUCCUGAAUCUUUAACACUGGACUUUUUAAGAAUGAUUAUGAAUAAAGAUUCUGCUUUUGAAUUGUGUUGUGAAAAAAAGUGUUAAAAAGUCCAUGCAGGGACAUUUGAACAUUUUUCUAAGUAAGAUAAACUCCGAUUUAGACUGAACAAAUGAUUCUGCCUGGCUGCUCCGAGACAUGAGUUAGUCAUUAAGGACUGAAAAUCAAAUAAGUGAAGUGCUAAUGCUUGACAAACACCCUUUUCGUCACACCCUCUCUGUCGAUGCGUGGAGCUUCUAGUGAAAGACGACGCCGGGCAGCAGAAGGCGGCGUGCUGAACAGGUGACAACACAGGGCCAGUCCCUCCCUGAGAGGACCAGCCAGGCUCAGUUUACUGUAGAAAGUCACACAGCAGAUGGUGUCCAAGGAAGUGAAUUAGCACCAAGAGGCCGUGUCCACACGCACCAGAUGGGGGUAGAAGAAGAGACAAAGAAACUGGGGGAGAAAAACAAUGACAUAAAGGAAGAACAGCCAAGGUGGAGGUAUCGCUGGCAAAAACUGAGGGAGAGGGUGCCUCAAGUGCUGAAAGGAAGAGAUUACUGUCUUGUCCUAUGAGGUUUCUUUAGAGUCUCAGAGUGAAUGUGGAGCCCUGACACUUGAUACGAACAUAUUAUAUGGGUGACAAAUCGCUCUUUCAAAAACAGUAAAUGACUGCUGCAAUUUGUGUUGAAGCUGGAGGGAAACAGCCAUGUUUUGGUCAAGGUAAUCUAACGGUGUCAGUGGUUCAGGAAUGGGCUCUGGAAUGUUAAUAAGGGGGGAAAAGGGCAACACGACUUAAAUGCCACACAGAUGUGGCCUAUCAGUGAUGCAAUCUAGAGUUGUAGCGCUUGCAGCCGCAGGACUGUGUUGGAGGCCGUUGACUUUAUGUAUUGACUGUACAUAAGACUGUAACUAGAAAUGUCAGAAUAAA